CUCAUUUGUUGUAUCACAACAUAUUUCAAAAAUAAUCUGUGAGCUAUUUCUUAUGGAAAACAAAGGGGUUGGCAGCAGCAACAGCAACAAGAAGAUGAAAAUUUCUCCUUAUUCCGAUGAAAACCCUAACCCCAAUAGCCUUCCUCCUUCUCUUCCAACUCGGUUUGAUUUUCUUCCCUAUUUCUCCUUUUUGUGCAAUAAUAUGUGGGAGUGGAGAUCCCCGAAGAUUCCAAUACUCACGAUGAUUCGAAUCAUCAACUUAUAAUUAUCUCGUUUCUUUUUUCUUUUACUAACUAUAAUAUCUUGAGUUUUGAAGGUGGAUCUGUGGCUGAAGAUCAAGGUUACAAUGUUGAAUUGAUGUGUGGAAUAAUGAAACCUUUGUUGAGAAAAUUGGUACAAGUGGAAGUGGAGAAUGCCAUUCAAACUCACUUUCCCACUCCUCUACAAACAUUAAGGAAAGAGAUAGGAGAAGAAGAGAUUAAGGAGGAUGGAAUAGAGAAAUUCAAAUUAGUAUUUUGGAAUGAACCAGCCUCCAUCAUUUUCACCAACAACGAAAUAAAUGCUGAAAAUGCUCGGCUUCAGUUCUUCCUUCUCGACGGCGAUCACGACUGCUCUCCCGGCCAACAACAACAUCAUCCUUUGUAUCCAAGAGAUGGCAAAAGACCUUUAAUAGUUGGUGAUGAUCUGAAUCUCAUUUUGAAAAAUGGAGUUGCUUCCGUUCACUCUUUGUCCAUCACUGAUAAUUCUAGUUGGAUCAAAUCUAAGAAGUUUCGAUUGGGAGUCGAGAUUAAAGAUGACAAAAUUCUAGCCAUGUUUUCACACAUUCGCGUAGCAGUUUCUCAACCUUUAGAGUCUUAGAUAACCGAGGUGAAGUGUACAAGAAGCAUCAUCCUCCGAGUAGCGAAGAUGAAGUAUGGCGAUUGGAAGGGAUCAGAAAAGAUGGCACAUAUCACAAAAAUUUAUCUUCUGAAGGCAUAAAAAAUGUGGGUGACUUCUUUAAGGCAUACCAAGAAAAGGGUCCUACCACUUUUAAAAAGUUGCUUGGCAACAAAGUCCCAAAGAAACUAUGGGAGAUGAUGGUUGCUAAUGCUAAGGAGUGUGUCAAUCUUCCCAAUUACCAACAAACUUCAAAGGAGAAGCACUCACACCAAACACCGAGGACUUCCAUAAAAAAAACAGAGAAGAAAAAAAGACAAUUUCGAGGAGUUUGAGCAAAGUUAGCAAAAAAAUAAAAUUAAAUUAAAAAAAUUAAAAAAACAUUAAAAAAAAAAAAAAACAUUAAUGUAUGUUAUUGAAUAGUUGAGCUGGUUUUUAUUCCUAAUUUCCUUCUCUCCUUUUUAUAUUAUGUUAUGGAAUUCUUCUGUUAGUGGAGAAAAUAAUUAGGUGUGUAUUUUUGUAAGGGUUUCUCACCUCUCUAUGUAUCUUCUUGGUAAAAUAAAACAGGCAGGAUGUCUGGCUUUGUUUUAAGUGUAGUUUUCUAUUACCUUUUGUUUUUGUUUUGUAACA